UUGAACGCUGGCGGCAUGCCUUACACAUGCAAGUCGAACGGUAGAGGGCUUCGGCCUUCGAGAGUGGCGAACGGGUGAGUAAUGCAUCGGAACGUGCCGUGUAAUGGGGGAUAACGUAGCGAAAGUUACGCUAAUACCGCAUAUGCCUGAGGCGCAGGAAAGCAGGGGGAUCGUCAGGACCUUCGCGUCUUAUGAGCGGCCUGAUGUCAGGAUUAGCUAGUUGGUGGGGUAAAGGCCCUACCAAGGCGACGAUCUGUAGCGGGUCUGAGAGGAUGAUCCGCCACACUGGACUGAGACACGGCCCAGACUCCUACGGGAGGCAGCAGUGGGGAAUUUUGGACAAUGGGGGCAACCCUGAUCCAGCCAUGCCGCGUGAGUGAAGAAGGCCUUCGGGUUGUAAAGCUCUUUCGGCCGGGAAGAAAUCGCAUCGGGUCUAAUAAUCCACUGUGGAUGACGGUACCGGAAUAAGAAGCACCGGCUAACUACGUGCCAGCAGCCGCGGUAAUACGUAGGGUGCGAGCGUUAAUCGGAAUUACUGGGCGUAAAGCGUGCGCAGGCGGUUUUGUAAGACAGCUGUGAAAUCCCCGGGCUCAACCUGGGAAAUGCGGCUUGUGACUGCAAGGCUAGAGUACGGCAGAGGGGGGUGGAAUUCCCUGGUGUAGCAGUGAAAUGCGUAGAUAUAGUGAGGAACACCGAUGGCGAAGGCAGCCCCCUGGGUCCGAUACUGACGCUCAUGCACGAAAGCGUGGGUAGCAAACAGGAUUAGAUACCCUGGUAGUCCACGCCCUAAACGAUGUCGACUAGGUGUUCGGGAGGGUAAGACCUUUUGAGUACCGCAGCUAACGCGUGAAGUUGACCGCCUGGGGAGUACGGUCGCAAGAUUAAAACUCAAAGGAAUUGACGGGGACCCGCACAAGCGGUGGAUGAUGUGGAUUAAUUCGAUGCAACGCGAAAAACCUUACCUACCCUUGACAUGUCCUGGAACUGGCCUGAGAGAGAGGUUGCUGUCCGAGGGAACCGGAACACAGGUGCUGCAUGGCUGUCGUCAGCUCGUGUCGUGAGAUGUUGGGUUAAGUCCCGACAACGAGCGCAACCCUUGUCACUUAAUUGCCAUCAUUAAGUUGGGCACUUUAGCUGAGACUGCCGGUGACAAACCGGAGGAAGGUGGGGAUGACGUCAAGUCCUCAUGGCCCUUAUGGGUAGGGCUUCACACGUCAUACAAUGGUCGGUACAGAGGGUUGCCAAGCCGCGAGGUGGAGCCAAUCCCUACAAAGCCGAUCGUAGUCCGGAUUGUAUCUGCAACUCGAGCAGCAUGAAGUCGGAAUCGCUAGUAAUCGCAGAUCAGCAUGUCGCGGUGAAUACGUUCCCGGGUCUUGUACACACCGCCCGUCACACCAUGGGAGCUGGGUUCCGCCAGAAGUAGGUAGCCUAACCGCAAGGAGGGCGCCUACCACGGUGUGGUCAAUGACUGGGGUG
rnacentral:rRNA from 1 species